UUUUUUUUUUUUUUUUUUUUUUUUUUUAGUUCCUAUCUUCUUAAGACAGGGAUCUCCAGAACUACUUACUCUCCUGUGUAGAGGCAGACUUGCCACAGAAUUAUCCCAGACUGGGUACCCUUUUGUCCCACUGCACUUAGUAAAAUAAAGGGCAUUAUCGGCCCAAGUGACACAUGUGCUUAGAGCAUCAUAUUCAGAACAAUUACCAAGUGCUCUCUCUGUUAGCUAGCUACCCUUUUCAGGUACAGAGUGAGUAUCUGUGGACCAGCCUAUCCUCCAGGAGCUUACAGGCUAGUGAAGAUAAUGUUCCUGGAAGUCUGUGAUCUCUUUCCCUCCAUUCCCUGGCUGCAAGCUGCCUCUUGAUUGUAAAUAUGUCCACUGUUGUUAGGGGAACCAGACAAGCAGAGUCUGGAAAGCCACAGGUAAACACAUUUCCACUAGUGAGACAUAUUUCAGAGCACAUAUUCUGACCCACCAAUCAUUGAUCAUCAGGCCUCCUGGGUGGCUCAGUGGUUGAGCAUCUGCCUUGGGCUCAGGGCAUGAUCCUGGGGUCCCAGGAUGGAAUCCCGUUGGGCUCCCUGUGGGGAGCCUGCUUUUUCCUCUGCCUAUGUCUCUGCCUCUCUUUCUGUGUCUCUCAAGAGAAAAUAAAAUCUAAAAAAAAAAAAAGAAAGAAAGAAGAAAGAAAAGAAAGAAAGAAAGAAAGAAAGAAAGAAAGAAAGAAAGAAAGAAAGAAAGAAAGAGGUUAUCUUCCUGUCUUCCUAAAGGUGGGAAAGCGAGGCUGGGUUAGUCCCAAAGGUUUAAGCCAUCUUUUCAGUAAAAACAGUUAAAACUACUUCCCUUAAGCAUUAAACUAGUUACAAUAACUGGCUUACACAAUAAGUGACCAUCAUAGUACAUCCACAUCAUGUUUCUCCUUCACAGAGGGUAGAUUUUCACAAAGCCAGCCACACUUUAGACCCUUGCAGCUGGGGUGGCUGCCCAGGGCCAAAAGUACAGUUCACUGCCCACUGCCAUGAUAUGUGCAAAGCGACUCCAUUCAAACAGAAUUUAAACGCACAGGUUUCAUUGUACUAGUGUUGUUUCCUAAUGGCCACGCUUAGCCACCAUAGGCCACAAAAACCUGGUAGUGGCUACAGCAGGGGGGAAGUGAAGGAGGGGCUCAGGGAGGGAAUCCUCCCAGAAGACAAACAAUAAGGGUGUGAGGAGGCGGCUGCUGUAGCAGCACUGGCCAUGGACCCUCUGAUGGGUACUCUAGGGACCGAUGGGCCGACAGGGCUGGGAGCUCUACUGGGGAGGGAGAGAUCCUGUAUUGGGAGAGCUGUUUGGUCACUAGGCUCGCAUCUCUGAAUAACUGGGUAACUGUGAGGCAGUUAUCUAAGUUACUGAGGAGCAGAGUGAGCAGCUGGGUAAUGUGGAUUCUAAAAUGUCAAAUAUGGGGCAGCCCCGGUGGCGCAGCGGUUUAGCGCCGUCUGCAGCCCAGGGCGUGAUCCUGGAGACCUGGGACCAAGUCCCAUGUCAGGCUCCCUGCGUGGAGCCUGCUUCUCCCUCUGCCUGUGUCUCUGCCUCUCUCUUCUCUCUCUGUGUAUCUCAUGAAUAAAUAAAUAAAAUAUUAAAAAAAUAAAAUGUCAAGUAUCAUUAUUAAUAAGCAUCUCUUGAAAGAGAAGGACCCAGGACUGGCCCCACUGUCCCUUGGGUGGGAACUGUUUUCAUCUCCUCUCUAGGAAUUCUAUAGCUACUGUUCUGGACAGGGUAUGAUAG
rnacentral:lncRNA from 1 species